rnacentral:misc_RNA from 1 species
UAAUAAGUGUUUUAUGGCACUUUUUAAAUCCAUGUCCACCUUGUGUGCAAUGUCAGUCGAUCUUCUUCAUGGAGAUCGACCAAACAUCAACCUUUAUCUUUUAACUCUUUGUCUGAAAAAUAUUAUGAAUAAACAAUUCAAAAUA